rnacentral:lncRNA from 1 species
CGACCUUGUGAGCCUGAAACCUGCUCAGUGGCCACUGACGUUGAUCUCAUUGAAGCUGUCGUUGCUCCUCGCUUAACCUGGCCCUGUGGUCCUGCUGACUUCCUUGUGAAUGGGCAGCUGCUGUUCAGGAAAUGGAUCAGCUUGAAAAAUCAUCUCUUUGUUUUGCAGGACUGGUUUUUGGCUGGGUUGGCUCCCGUUGCUGCUGAAGCAAGAAGAUGAAGCAGUAUCCUGUGAAACAGCAGAGCAUUGCCAUUCUGUGCCCUGAGGAAGGAAGCUGAAAUAUGAAUAGGCUUCUCAUCCCAUACAAGUUGCUUCUUGGCCAGGCUGUCAAGAUAGCAAUACACAAAGGAAUGAACUGCUGACCAUCCAAAAUGCUACCCUAAUCUAUAAAAGGAAACGGUGUAGACAGCAGCAAUGGAUGCUUUUCUGGCCUGCUCCUCUCCCUCCAGAACUGAAGGUGCAGUUAUUUUAGAGACCGGCCACUAUGCCACUUCAGGCCUUGGCAUUUCUUCUGGCACCAGGUGGAGUAAGCCUGCCUGAGAUCAGGAGUCAGCUGAUGACUGAGUGUUUGCCUGAGCCUGCAGUCACCACAGGGGCAUGAAGCAAAGUAUAUCGGAUCGCAACGAGUCAGCAUAACAGGGUUACCUGGCCAGAGAAUUGAGCUCCAGUUGGCUGUGGAGUUCACAAAACUUCAUUUAUGAUAUGGGACACUCAAGAAUUGUCUGUGUAACAAGAUCAGUGUCUGAGCUGCAAUUUCUUCACUCUGUUGUGGAGGCUCGAAGAAAGGUAAAAUGUUAUUACAGAAAGUAAGUGCAUUUUUGCAGCACCUGAUUUAAGAGAGAAGUCUCACCUGGGCAUGGGCUGACGGAGGGUCACUGUGUGGUUAGGUCCCCCCAGGACAGAGCUGUGAACUACAAUGAGACCACCUGUUUACUUCAACUGCUGAACUCAGCUAUGAAGAUUUUACAAAUAUAAGCAGAAAUGUGAAAUGGGAUCUCUUUUUUUCUUCUCUCUGCUUUGUCUGAGUGCUUUCAGUGAGGGCUGGCUAGCACAUCUACAAUUCUCUUCCUGAUUCCAGCCUUCUUGAAUGUCCAAAAUGCAAGUUAUCUCUGGAUGGAUACCUUUGAACUACAUAUCUGUAAUUCCUAGUUUCUCUUGAGGGCAAAAAUACAAGUGUUAAAACAUAAAAAAGAAGGCUUACAUUAGGGUUGUUUGUGAGCUCAAGGAAGGUGUAAAACUCACUAAUUUCAAUAAGCUGUGAAGGAAAACAACCUAUUUGCAAAAUGACCAGAAACAGGAAAAUGUGAAAUUGCAUAAAACGUGCUGACCUAAUGAUAUUUCCAGCCUAUUCCUGCUGUCAAAAUAUUUAGACAGUUCAGGGCCACACUUGAAUGUCAUCAGUUCAUUCGAAGCCAGUAUCAACUCUCUUUAGUUUAUUCACUGCUUCAGUGGAACUGCUGUUUAUCUAUAGGAUGUUUUUUUAUGGGAAGAAAUCACAAUAAAAUCUGUCAAUUCCCUUUUUGAUGUGUCA